rnacentral:rRNA from 1 species
CACGUAGGCACCAAGCGUUGUCCGGAUUUAUUGGGCGUAAAGAGCUCGUAGGCGGUUCAGUAAGUCGGGUGUGAAAACUUUGGGCUUAACCCAAAGCGUGCAUCCGAUACUGCUGUGACUUGAGUUCGGUAGGGGAGUGGGGAAUUCCUAGUGUAGCGGUGAAAUGCGCAGAUAUUAGGAGGAACACCGGUGGCGAAGGCGCCACUCUGGGCCGAAACUGACGCUGAGACGCGAAAGCGUGGGGAGCGAACAGG